rnacentral:tRNA from 1 species
GCCUGGAUAGCUCAGCUGGUUACAGCGUGGCACUGAUAACGCCAAGGUUGCAGGUUUGGUCCCUGUAUGGGACA